CUGACAGUGGAUUUCUUCCACUGAUGUGCACACUCUUUGACAUGAAAAGCUGCACGAAGCUGCCUUGAAUUCAUUCUGCAGAUGGAAAGUUGCAAGUACGGGAACUGCCACUCACUGACACGGACAACAGUAAAGGAACUUGGUCUUCACUAUGCCUCAUAGUGGUGGGUCACACUGCCCAGGAGGAACCCGCAAUGAGACCGGCAAAUGCCUUAACCAUCUCAUUGUCUCAUCAGGAAGAAGCUUAAAUGACUCUUCUUGCUCACAUACUUCCUGGGCAAACAUGUCUGCUCUGUUGGGAUAAAGGACGCUCUAGACCAGGCUCUGCUGAAAGAUCCAGGGCAAAGGUUCCUGACAAGACUAUGUCCAGCCUCAAAUAAGGCCACAGAAGAGCCCAGGCUCGCUGACGAGCACCGGCUCCGAGGCAGUCACAUCAGGAGACAGAAACAGACAUGUUGGUGCUGCCCUCUCAGGUCAGUGCAAAUGCCACUUGAGGAGGGCUGAGAGCUUUGCAGCAUAAAAUGACCAGAACAAGGAGAAACACAGAUGCAAUGGCAAUAGCUGGCAAUUCGCACAUGGCGUCAAACACCACUGCCACAGAAGCUUUUUAGCUACAAGCCACGCUAUGCAACCUUUAAGCAAAACAUUAUUGAUUUUGUGGUUGUAAAAACAUACCUUCAACUGCAGAACUCAGUUUUAUGACACCUUGAAUAAAAACAAAAAGUGGCAGUUAUAUAAUGGACCCAAAUCGCCUUUUCCAGGCUUCUCAUAACACACGCAUGCUUCAGAUUUGGAUUUUUCUUUUUCUGCUGGCAUUGCAAGAACGUAACUAAACAAAUAUCAACUUCAAAAAUAAAAUAAUUUUUAGUCUUAACUAGGUCUCAUGGAUGUCUUCUUUUCCCCCACUAAAACCAUUUGGGGAAAUUUUUCACUAAAAAUGGGAUCAAACAUGUUUUUGGAUGGGACAAAGGCCAAGUCUGCCUGAGUGACUAUUUCUGUGUAUAAAUUAUACCAGAUUAUGGAUCAAUAAAAGUUCACACAAUAGGAUGCUAGGGACCAGCACUUCCUCUUUGAUACUGUAUCUAGAGAUCAUCUGAUGCAUGUUAGGACAGAGUUUCUGUUGAAACAUGUAACAGGUGGUUAAAAACCAUGGUGUGAUCUGGUAACUUUCUUCUCUGGGGUGGUUGGGCCAGAGCCCUUUUCUUGGUCUGAUGGGUUUAGAUUUCAGCUCCCUCAAGUCAGAGAGUGAACGGGUUAUCUGAGCAAGUCAAGUUGUUCAUGAAGCAAGUCAGUACCCUUGACUGAUAUUUAUGCACCUUUGCAGUGAAUUUUUUUUUUUUUUGAGACAGAGUCUCGCUCUGUCACCCAGGCUGGAGUGCAGUGGCGCAAUCUCGGAUCUUGGAUCUCGGCUCACUGCAACCUCUGCCUCCUGGGUGGACGCCAUUCUCCUGCCUCAGCCUCCCGAGUGGCUGGGACUACAGGCGCCCGCCAGCACGCCCGGCUAAUUUUUUGUAUUUUUAGUAGAAACAUGGUUUCACUGUA
rnacentral:lncRNA from 10 species